GAGGAUAUAGCUCAGUGGUAGAGGGCAUGCUUAGCAUGCAAGAGGUCCUGGGUUCAAUCCACAGUAUCUUCA
rnacentral:tRNA from 1 species